rnacentral:pre_miRNA from 1 species
GUGGUCAUGAUGGGGAAGAAGGGCACAUGAAGGACUAACUCAUUUAUCAAGUGAAAUGGACAUCUCUUGCAUGAGUUAGUAAUGCACGUGCCCUGCUUCUCCAUCUUGCUCAA